ACGAACAAAAACUAAAAACAAAAACUAAGAACUGCGGCAUAGUUUUAGGUAAAGUCUAUUAUUGAGUUAUGUCUUGAGUUUACGAGUCGUAUACUUUUGAAUUAUCAUUUAUGUAUGCAAUUGAAGUAACAUUGAAUUAUUUAUCACAAAACCCAAUCAUGUAGAUUCCAAGAAGUAACUUGUUUCUUUUUGGCUUGUUUUAUCAUUUAUCAUUUAUGUAUGCAAUUGAAGCAUACAAAAUAGCUCGCUAAACUAAUACAAAAUUGCACAAUAUAUUAUAAUACCUCGUAAGUUGUAAAUUCGCUUGUGUAAUCCAGUACAAAUUCUGAUCCAAUUAUACUCGAUUCGGUUGUAGCAUAGCCCUACAUAUAAAAUAAUUUAUCACCAAGAAUUAAUGAAUCAGAGGAUCUGUUCGGCACAAAAUUCAGCACGGCACGCGAUUUGGCACGAGAAGGCUUCUGUUCGGCGAUCCAGUGCCGAACGGAGCACGAACCGUGAAAAAAAAAACUUUCGAAACAAGGUGGAACACGUACCUUUGCGGCCGAUUC
rnacentral:lncRNA from 1 species